UACGAAGGGGGCUAGCGUUGUUCGGAAUUACUGGGCGUAAAGCGCGCGCAGGCGGUCUUCCAAGUCAGUGGUGAACGCCCGGAGCUCAACUCCGGAACUGCCAUUGAAACUGUAAGACUUGAGGAUGAGAGAGGUGAGUGGAAUUCCCAGUGUAGAGGUGAAAUUCGUAGAUAUUGGGAAGAACACCGGUGGCGAAGGCGGCUCACUGGCUCAUAUCUGACGCUCAGGCGCGACAGCGUGGGGAUCAAACAGG
rnacentral:rRNA from 1 species